AUUGAACGCUGGCGGCAGGCCUAACACAUGCAAGUCGAGCGGUAGAGAGGUGCUUGCAUCUCUUGAGAGCGGCGGACGGGUGAGUAAUGCCUAGGAAUCUGCCUAGUGGUGGGGGAUAACGUUCGGAAACGGACGCUAAUACCGCAUACGUCCUACGGGAGAAAGCGGGGGGAUCUUCGGACCUCGCGCCAUUAGAUGAGCCUAGGUCGGAUUAGCUAGUUGGUGAGGUAAUGGCUCACCAAGGCGACGAUCCGUAACUGGUCUGAGAGGAUGAUCAGUCACACUGGAACUGAGACACGGUCCAGACUCCUACGGGAGGCAGCAGUGGGGAAUAUUGGACAAUGGGCGAAAGCCUGAUCCAGCCAUGCCGCGUGUGUGAAGAAGGUCUUCGGAUUGUAAAGCACUUUAAGUUGGGAGGAAGGUAGUAACCUAAUACGUUGCUACUUUG
rnacentral:rRNA from 1 species